AAUCUUAGCGAACAUAGAAUAUCAGCAGCAAAAGCGAAAGCACUCGAACCAAAACACACGCUGACGUUACCACGCGCCGACGAUUUGUUCACAACUAACUGUAUCUGUGCAAACUUACCCAGAAUGUAAAUCAACGAGUAUAAAAACCAAAAGAGAGCCCGGGAAUAGUCAAGCAGCAAACACC